UCCCUAUUAGCUCAGAUGGUAAAGCAUCUGCCUGCAUGCAGGAGACCCAGGUUUGAUCCCUGGGUUAGGAA
rnacentral:tRNA from 1 species